UCCUGCUCGCUCUCUCUUCUUUCAUCUCUCUCUUCUCUCCUCGCUAGCUCCUCUCCUCUCUGUCUCUCUUUCUCUCUUACACUCUCCUCUCUUUUUCCUUCUUUGCUCCUUCCCUCCGGUCUGCUGAAUUGUCCCCAAUAAACCCUUUCCCUUAAAAAAAAAAAAAAAGAAAAACAGGGCACGGUGGUUCCAUUAAUGAAACAUCUUUCUGGCCAGUCUGUGCUAGGCGCUGGGAUGUGCCUUCAGAUGAGACCCGUCACUUCCCUUGAGGACCUUGCUGUCAGGGACAGAAUCUUGCACACGUUUUGUUGUCGGAUUUCUUCUGGAAUUCCAAAGGCAUAAGUUGACUCUGCACUUCCAAGAAGAGGAAGAGACUGGGUUGGAUUCUUGGUAUCCUUAGAUUCCGGUCUAGAAGGUAGAUUGGAGCUCUCCCAGCCAAUGAAGACCAGCUUGCAUGAGCCCCGGAGGGCACUCCGAAUUCCAGUGAGUACAUUGGAUAAGAUGGCACUGGGCUACUGGGAUGGAGCUGAAAGUCUGGAGCAUACAGUAAGUGACUGGAGGAGUCUCAGGCAAAAAUCUGGCAUGAGAUCCUGAAAGCUACACAUUUCUCCACUGCACUCCCUGGCCACAGCAGAGAGCUGGCCUGGAAGAGGGGCAACCGGGACAGAAUCCGGCGCCCCGACCAGGACUAGAACCCAGUGUGCUGGCACCGCAAGGCGGAGGAUUAGCCUAGUGAGCCAUGGCGCCGGCCUCACAUUUCUGUUCUUCCUAACUGGAUGUAAGGAGCACCACAAAUUAAGCAUCAGUCAUUAUGGAAUGGAAACCCCUAGGGUUAGGGGAGCAUUUACAUGAGACAGGUUUCAUUGUUGGCAAAGAUCAUUAACAGAAGUGAUUGGUCUCUUGCCAACAGCUGCAACAGAAUCCAAACUGCACAUCAUAUGACCUGGGUACAUGCAAAGCAAGAAGCCUUUGGCCAAAAUAAUAUCUGGAAACAGUGUUUUUUUUUUUUUUUUUCCUUGUGGAACCAAGAAAACCAAACCAUUAAUGGAAUCUAAAUGCUGGAACCCUUUCAGAAGCAAGGGGUCCAUUGACCAGGAAUAUCUGAUGUUAAAGACCCCAUUCAGUUCUUGCCUCACCAGGACUUUCUCAUACCAGCUUGUUCUCCCUGACACACAAAAUCUGCCCUAGACUUGAGAGUAGGGAGACAGAUUUGUGUCUUGCCUCUUGUUUGUUUCUUGGUCAACCUCACAAUAAAGCCUUUCUUUGCUUAAUAGCCAGGCCAUAAUAUUGGCUUCUUUGCAUGUCAUACUAUGAGCCUCUGCUUGAUAACAUUAGUACAAAUGUUUUAAAGAAGAUCCCUAACCCAGAUAAAUAGUGGAGAAAGUCUACUGGAAGAAUGAUGGCCCAUACGUAGGUCCAUAGCUGCCAUCUUGUGAUUCAUAGUCCAGGAAGGGGAUGUGGAGAACAAAUAACAGAGAUGCAUAUGGUAAGGUCUGCCAUGAAUACUGUUUUAGGUUGUACACUGCAGAGGGCCAUCCAACCACAGGGAAGUGGAGAACAGAGAGAAAUGAAACACCAGUCUGUACUUUGCUUGCCCAAGAGAGUACCCUGGUUCAAGGGUAUGUUAGCUUGAAAAAAGAAUCUUCUAAUCCCCUCAAAGUCACCAUUUGGAUAAACUGUGUUAUCCACAGACAUAAGCAUUGAUUAUGAAGAUUAUUCAAUGAUAUUCAUAUAGAAAAUACUUUCACCAAAUUAAGUGAAAAUUAUAGCAUGCAAAAUUGAUGAGUAAUAUGAAUAUUGCUAUAUUACGAUUGAGACUCUAUAAGAAAAGCAUGGGGUUUCCUAAAAAACUAGAACUUGUAAGCAAAGACAUCACAAAGGAGUUUAAAAUGAAAGCAAAGAUAGUUUUUAUGCAGAUGCCAAAUAGAUUUGCAAAUCAGGAGAUACAGAUUCAGUUAGAAACCACUAAGGUAGGGAGGAUAUGUCUUUUUUAAGGGAAAGGCAGGAACAAUGAGAUAAGAAGUAAUUUGUUUUGAACAAUUUUCAAUUGGCUCUGUUAGUGAUUCGGGUUGCUUUGAAUAAAUUUGGAGUGUGCUGAGGAUCUGUUCAUACAUGAAGCAAAACGUGACUGUGUUGCUAGGGGGCUAUUAGGAGGGAGUUUUCAGUAUGCAGAAAGUCUUUGGAGAUAAUCAGUAAGUCAGCAGAAGUCCCAGGAUUGGAGACUCUUUCACUAUAGGUUCUGGGAAGCACAUCCUUUCCUAACAGCAGUCUUCAUUUGGAGGUUAAAGACUGAGGAACUUGCGUUGCACAGGUGAACUGCCACCUGUCCAAGGGGGCCACUGAGGCUCACAGAGAAACUGUUCUCUCUUUCAAACAAACUGCAGCCAUCCUAAUUUUCAUUUCUACAAAAUAGAACUGUCACAUGAUCCAUCAGUUCUAUAAUUGGAUAUAUAUCCAAAGGAAAGGAAAACUGUAUGUCAAAUAGAUAGUUGUGAGAGGGACACUCUGGAUCUAUGUGGAGGCUAUGGAUGUGCACAGCUUAGGACCCCAGCAGCCAAGAGCCUCAGCACCAGCUUUGGAGGGUGAGGUGAGAACAGACUGCAGUAGCCCAAGCCACUGGUGAUAAAGCUGUGGGAAGAGUGUGGCUUGAGCAUGGCUUGGAGUGCUGUGGGGAACAGUAUACCUGACAAUCUAGAGGAAAAGGGAGAGUCACAUCUCCUUUCCAGCAUCCUGUAACUAGCCGAGAGCAGGGUGGUGCCAUUUUGGACAUACAGAACUGUUGUUCCAGCUGCACAUCCAGCAACCAGCCAAGAGGAAAAGCCUGACUCUGGCUGGGAGAAUUGACAGGUGGCUGGUUGCUUGUGACUGUGGGAGCUUUGUGUGCUGGGACUGUGAAAGUACUGUGGAUGCCUGGGAGGGUGUAUGGUGUGGCUGGUUCUUCAGUCAGUCACUCUGGGUGGCUCCACAUGCUUGGGGCUCCUUGAUUCCCUGGUGAAGAUCACUGGUUCGGGACCCAUGCUCAUACUAAAGACUGUACCAAUCCUUUGUGUGGUUCUUUUGGCAGUGUGAAUGAAUAUUGCACCUACUGGGGCUAGUGACCAGGUGUUGGUCUCCUUGGAUGAAAAGAGUUGAGUGUGAGACUAUGCCAAAAAACCAACCCACUGAUUUAAAAAAAAGAGAGAGAGGGAUUUCCCGUACUCAGCUUGGGUAUCACUUUGGACACUCCCCUUACCCUGGAGCACUGAACAGAUCUCCCUGGCCACACUUAAAGUAUUCACUGAAAGAGAAGACACUCUAUUUUUUCUGUUUCAUAUUUUAUUUAAUUCAAACAAAUUUCAUGUAUUUCACAUAUAGAGAUUUAGGAACAUAGUGACACUUCCCACCCUCUCAUCCCUCCUGCCCGUGCUCCCACCCUUUGAGAAGACACUUUAUUAAUCCACAGAGGCAUAGUCCAAAGAUAAAAGCUAUUAGAGUAGAAAAAAUUAUCUCCACAAAUGCCUAGAAAUAAACACAGCAAUUCAAGAAACAAGAAUAAGGAAGACAACAUAACACCUCCAAAGGAACCAACAACACUUCAAUACUAGAGUGUGAAAAUGAAAAGAUUAAAGAAAUCCAGAAACAGAAUUAAAAAAAUUGAUAGUAAGAUUACUUAGAUGUAAUCAGAAACAAAUCCAUGAAUUCAACAAAUCCAUAUAUGACAUGAAUGAAAAUUUUUCCCAUGAAAUUGAGAUUUUAAAGAGAAAUCAAAACAAAAUAUUGGGGGGCCAGUGCUGUGAUGCAGCGGGUUAAAGCCCUGGCCUGAAGUGCUGGCAUCCCAUAUGGGUGCCAGUUGUAGUCCUGACUACUCCCCUUCCA